GACUGCCUAGGGUAGGGCUUAGCUCACUUGUGAACAGCGUUUGGUUCAGCCGUGUUCACAGUGGCUAAGUUCCGCCACUUGGAGU
rnacentral:pre_miRNA from 1 species